UACGUAGGGAGCAAGCGUUGUCCGGAAUUACUGGGCGUAAAGGGCGCGUAGGUGGGCGCUUAAGUCAGGUGUGAAAACUCCGGGCUCAACCUGGAGACUGCACUUGAAACUGGGUGUCUUGAGGGCAGGAGAGGAAAGUGGAAUUCCUAGUGUAGCGGUGAAAUGCGUAGAUAUUAGGAGGAACACCGGUGGCGAAGGCGGCUUUCUGGACUGAAACUGACGCUGAGGUACGAAAGCGUGGGGAGCAAACAGG
rnacentral:rRNA from 1 species